UACGAAGGGUGCUAGCGUUGUUCGGAAUUACUGGGCGUAAAGCGCGCGUAGGCGGCGAUCCAUGUCAGGGGUGAAAUCCCGGGGCUCAACUCCGGAAUUGCCUUUGAAACGGGAUUGCUAGAGUCCGAGAGAGGAUGGCGGAAUUCCUAGUGUAGAGGUGAAAUUCGUAGAUAUUAGGAAGAACACCGGUGGCGAAGGCGGCCAUCUGGCUCGGUACUGACGCUCAGGCGCGAAAGCGUGGGGAGCAAACAGG
rnacentral:rRNA from 1 species